rnacentral:rRNA from 1 species
GCAAGUCGAGCGCACUUUUGGUCUUCGGAUUAGAAGCGAGCGGCGGACGGGUUAGUAACGCGUGGGAACGUACCCUUUUCUAAGGAAUAGCCUCGGGAAACUGAGAGUAAUACCUUAUACGCCCUUCGGGGGAAAGAGUUAUCGGAGAAGGAUCGGCCCGCGUUAGAUUAGAUAGUGGGUGGGGUAAUGGCCUACCAAGUCUACGAUCUAUAGCUGGUUUUAGAGGAGGAGC